AUGGAUUCGGCUAGUAGCAGCGCGCGGACGGUGGCGGCGUGCGUGAUCGGCGGGAUCGUGCUGGGUGCCUCGGUGGUCGCGCUGCACCUCGGCGCUGGCCCCGCGGCCCCGAGUCUGCCACCGGUCGAGGCCCUCCGGCGGCGCUUCCGCCGCCGCCACCGCCCCGUGCGGGUCUACAUGGACGGCUGCUUCGACAUGAUGCACUACGGCCACUGCAACGCGCUGCGCCAGGCGCGGGCGCUCGGGGACGAGCUCGUCGUCGGCGUCGUCAGUGAUGACGAGAUCACCGCCAACAAGGGACCCCCCGUCACGCCGCUCCACGAGAGAAUGAAAAUGGUCCGUGCUGUCAAAUGGGUUGACGAUGUCAUUCCAGAUGCACCAUAUGCCAUAACCGAAGAUUUCAUGAACAAGCUAUUCAAUGAGUACAAUAUUGAUUACAUUAUUCAUGGUGAUGAUCCUUGCCUGCUACCAGAUGGCACUGACGCAUAUGCCCUUGCCAAAAAGGCUGGCCGAUAUAAGCAGAUUAAAAGAACCGAAGGAGUGUCAACAACAGACAUUGUUGGAAGAAUGCUUCUUUGUGUUAGAGAGAGACCAGUUUCUGAUAAUCAGAGCCACUCUUCACUACAAAGACAGUUCAGUCAUGGGCAUGGUCAGAAUAUUGAUGAUAGUGGAUUUGGAAAUGGAACAAAAAUAUCUCAUUUUCUUCCCACAUCUCGGCGGAUAGUUCAGUUCUCAAAUGGCAGGGGGCCAGGACCAGAUUCCCGGGUAGUUUACAUUGAUGGUGCAUUUGAUCUGUUCCAUGCUGGACAUGUCGAGAUAUUGCGACUUGCUCGAGGGCUUGGAGAUUUCUUGCUUGUGGGCAUUCACACAGAUCAGACCAUAAGUUCAACUCGAGGACCACAUCGCCCAAUCAUGAAUCUCCAUGAGCGCAGUUUGAGUGUUUUGGCUUGUCGUUAUGUUGACGAAGUAAUCAUUGGUGCUCCGUGGCACAUUUCAAAAGACAUGAUUACCACUUUUAAUAUUUCAUUGGUUGUUCAUGGAACUAUAGCUGAGAACAUGGACUAUACAGAGGAUGAUUCAAAUCCAUAUGCUGCUCCAAUUGCUAUGGGCAUUUAUCAUAAACUGGAUAGCCCUUUGGACAUCACCACUAGUACUAUUAUAAGGAGAAUAGUUUCUAACCAUGAAGCCUACCAGAAACGGAAUGAGAAGAAGGAAGCCAGCGAGAAGAAGUACUAUGACAGUAAAAGCUUUGUCAAUGGAGAGUAG
rnacentral:rRNA from 1 species